UGGGGAAUAUUGGACAAUGGGCGCAAGCCUGAUCCAGCCAUGCCGCGUGGAUGAUGAAGGCCUUAGGGUUGUAAAGUCCUUUUAACGGGGAAGAUAAUGACGGUACCCGUAGAAUAAGCCCCGGCUAACUUCGUGCCAGCAGCCGCGGUAAUACGAAGGGGGCUAGCGUUGCUCGGAAUCACUGGGCGUAAAGCGCACGUAGGCGGCUUUCUAAGUCAGGGGUGAAAUCCUGGAGCUCAACUCCAGAACUGCCUUUGAUACUGGAGAGCUUGAGUCCGGGAGAGGUGAGUGGAACUGCGAGUGUAGAGGUGAAAUUCGUAGAUAUUCGCAAGAACACCAGUGGCGAAGGCGGCUCACUGGCCCGGUACUGACGCUGAGGUGCGAAAGCGUGGGGAGCAAACAGG
rnacentral:rRNA from 1 species